GCUAUAGACUGGGUGCCUUAAACAACAGAAACUUCUUUUUCACAGUUCUGGAGGCUAGAAGUCCAAGAUCCAGAUUCCAACAAGAGUUGCGAAGACUGCCGCUGUGUCCUGCUUGCCGUCUGCUGUACACGGUGGGGUGGCACUCCAGGACGUUGCUUCGGACAUGGCUGUGUGCUUCAUGGCCUAGCUCCUGCGUGUCCCUCCUGUAACCUGAAUGGGAGCGUUCCACAGAGUUCUACCCAGGCCUUACUCUAUUCCCCACCCACUUCUUCUUUGACAUCGGCUCCCGGUUUUAUGGCCUCCCACUUCCAACAGAUCUCCAGUCCCAGAACUCUCUCCCGACACCCAUGUUUAUAGUUCCAUUUGCCCAAUGGUCAUCUCCAUGCAGACACCCUGCCACCAUCUCAAACACGGCAGAUUGUAGUUUAAAAAUGUAAGUCUCUGGACUUCCCUGGUGGCACAGUGUUUAAGAGUCUGCCUGCCAAUGUAGGGGACAAGAGUUCGAGCCCUGGUCCGGGAGCAUCCCACAUACCGCGGAGCAACUAAGCCCGUGCACCGCAACUACUGAGCCUGCACUCUAGAGCCCGCGAGCCACAAGUACUGAGCCCGCGUGCCACAACUAUCGAAGCCUGUGCACCAAGAGCCUGUGCUUCGCAACGAGAGAAGCCACCGCAAUGAGAAGCCUGCGCACAGCAACGAAGAGUAUCCCCCACUCGCCGCAGCUAGAGAAAGCCCACCUGUAGUAGUGAGGACCUAACGCAUCCAAAAAAUAAAUUAAUUAAAUAUAAUUAAUUAAUUAACAGAACUUGAGUAUUCGACCCAGAUCUACAGAAACUUGGUGCACCUGGUGAGUUGUAAAUAGCCUUUCUUUAUGACGAUAAGGAAACUGAAAUUAAACAAAGAGUUUUGCUUAGCUGAUUAAUCAAGUUGGAGCAAGCUCCCAGUAAAGCUAAAUUUAACUGUGCCCCGCUCUGUAUCCCAAACUGCAGAUUUCCUCUUUUAUGAUUUCUUCCAGCUCAGUGUAAUUGGAUUGUUCAGUCUGGGUGAUGAGUAUGUG